GCGCAGGCGCAGUUCCGCCUUCUCUUCGAAACAGGCCGCGUGGCUGCGAGUCAUGGCGGCGUCUGUCUGGCCCGAACGGGACGAGCAGUCUCGGGUGUUUGGUGCUGGCUUUUCUUUGGCGUCUGCGGAGACCGCGAGCAGCAGACCUGCAGGGUGAAGUUUAAAAGUGACGGAUGGAGCCCUGAAACGGGUACAGUCCCAGCCUCGGUUUCUGAGGCUGAAAAAGGACCCUCCAGAAGUAGCUGCCAGGGGCGACGUGUCUGAAGAGGCUUUCUGGUGUGUAUGUCCACAGUGUGUGAGUACGGGACUGCUUCGCCUCAAGUUCUCUCCCCAGUGAUGCCAAGUUCCGUGCCAGUUACUAAUGCCUGGGAAGCAAUUCCCCCCCUGCCCCCCGCCAAAGGAGAGCGACUUCAGAGUUGUUUGGACUUCGUCUCCAAAAAGCAGCCAAAGACUAUGAGUGGCUUUAUCCCGGAAAAUAUUUGGCAGUUGGUCAAAUCAGGGCAUAGCUAAGAAUAUCCAGGAUGCAACCUUUUAGCUGAUGUGGGUAUAAUUCGCUCAUUGGCAAGAAUGCGGCGGUGGUGGACGGAAGGCGGUCAACGUGUACACGUUCUGUUCGAGGAAACUGAGGGGACGCAGGUGUUCAGCCUCGGAAGAACGUUUCAUCAGGGUGGAUUUCCUGUGAAGUUCUGUCUUGGGCUUAAAUUUUGAAGUACAAAUAAAAGUGUUUAAAAAUGG